UGGGGAAUAUUGCGCAAUGGGGGGAACCCGUGACGCAGCAACGCCGCGUGAAGGAUGAAGGCUUCGGGUUGUAAACUUCUUUGAUGAGGGACGAAAGAAAUGACGGUACCUCAAAAACAAGCCACGGCUAACUACGUGCCAGCAGCCGCGGUAAUACGUAGGUGGCGAGCGUUGUCCGGAAUUACUGGGUGUAAAGGGCGUGUAGGCGGGGAUGCAAGUCAGAUGUGAAAUGCCGGGGCUUAACUCCGGAGCUGCAUCUGAAACUGUGUUUCUUGAGUGUCGGAGAGGAAAGCGGAAUUCCCAGUGUAGCGGUGAAAUGCGUAGAUAUUGGGAGGAACACCAGUGGCGAAGGCGGCUUUCUGGACGAUAACUGACGCUGAGGCGCGAAAGCGUGGGGAGCAAACAGGAUUAGAUACCCUGGUAGUCCACGCUGUAAACGAUGGAUACUAGGUGUAGGAGGUAUCGACCCCUUUCUGUGCCGGAGUUAACACAAUAAGUAUCCCACCUGGGGGAGUACGGCCGCAAGGUUGAAACUUAAAGGAAUUGACGGGGGUCAUAGCUG
rnacentral:rRNA from 1 species